rnacentral:rRNA from 1 species
UACAGAGGGGGCAAGCGUUAUUCGGAAUUAUUGGGCGUAAAGGGCGCGUAGGCGGCUUGGCAAGUGGAAGGUGAAAUCCCUCGGCUUAACCGAGGAACUGCCCUCCAAACUGCUUCGCUUGAGACCGGGAGAGGUGAGUGGAAUUCCCAGUGUAGCGGUGAAAUGCGUAGAUAUUGGGAGGAACACCAGUGGCGAAGGCGGCUCACUGGACCGGUACUGACGCUGAAGCGCGAAAGCGUGGGGAGCAAACGGG